GAAGUUCCGCGAUCUUCUCUUUGUGCGCGGGCGGAUGGAUCAACGCCGCCAAGUGGGUAAGGUCUGAGGAUUGCGUCAUUAGGCGAUUUUGUUGCUGUACGAACACCACAGAAUGUACUUUGACGACCUAGAUGGUGGAGCCUGGACACACCUCGGCUCUGUGGUGUGGCCUGCUGCUUCCAGGCUGCAAACCUGACAGCAUGGGGCUGUACUGAAUACCGCAGACCAUUGUAAUUCAUGGGGAAAGCGCGAAUGCAGUCCCCCACUACAACAAAUUAUGCAGUCGAGUUUUCCACAUUUGGGAAUAUCACAGGGGUCAGCACAUCCGGAGUGCAAUCGAUGAGCCCCACGCUGGGAAAAACCACCUUCGUGAUCAUGGUAUCUUCCCUGCCAGAGAGAAACCAAUCAGCUUCAUUUUCAACUUCUUCUAUGACUCCAGAGGAUUCACUUUGCAUCUUGUGACAAAUGAAUAUAUUACCUGAAAAAAAAAUGACAGGAUAGAUGAGUUGCUGCACAGGGGGAAAGCGAAGUUCCCAGGAGUAAGAUGUGCAAGAAGCGGGCAGCC
ensembl:lncRNA WEE2-AS1 WEE2 antisense RNA 1